UGACAUAUAUAAUAGGAAGAAACAACUUGACUUUUAAUCAAGUUGUCUGGGGUUCGAAUCCCCAGUGGCUCAG
rnacentral:tRNA from 1 species